GGUGGGUGAAGGAUCAGGCAUUGCCCUGAGCUGAGGAGUGUAGGUUGCAGACACAGCUUGGAUCCUGUGUUGCUGUGGCUGUGAUGUAGGCCAGCAGCUGCAGCUCCAAUUCCACUCCCAGAUGUGACCCCUAGCCCAGGAACGUCCAUGUACCGUAGGUGCGGCCAUUAAAAAAAAAAAAAGGCCAUCUGCUCCUUUAAGAUUAUGUUACUUAUCUGGCCUCUCAGAAUCCAAGUCUGUACAAGAGACUCAGUGAUGUUCAGAGUAUGCAAGCGGAGACAGUGUGCUUUCCUUCUGGGCUCCAGAUUUCUAAAGAAACCCAAGCAAAGAAUUCUUCUAUGUAUUCCUUCAUGCCCUCAUUACUUCAUAGUUUUGUUCAGAAAAACAAAGUAUGGAGACAUUCAUACCCAGUGUUUUGACAACAGUAAAUCAAGACAGGAAAAAGGAGAAAAGAAAGACAGAACCAAGGUAAACAAACAAAAAAAUACAAUAAAGUUAAGAUCUCAAUGAUAUAGAGCUGGUGGUAAUCCAUGCUGACAAUGAAAAAUACUAAGUAUCAUAAGCAGAUUGAAUGAGGAUUCUGGAGUAUAAAAAACCUUAGUUUCUUAGGGAGCGAUUCUGACAAGAUUCUGCAAAUUAACACUGGCUUUCGGCUCCUUCCCCCAGACCAACCUUGCAUAUGCCCAAAAAGUGAGAAGGAGGUUGAUGGGUAUGAGAGAUUAACCAACAACUGAGAAAUUCCAGGAAGGCUAAAGUUGGUAAAUUCUAGAUACGGAUUAUGGAUAGAAAAGUGGCAGCUCACGGCAGAAGAGGGCAGCACAGAGCAGAUGAAGACAAGAUUGGAGAGAUUCAUGUAUUUUUCUGGGUUUGUGUGUGUGUUUUCAUAUUCCUCUGGGUGCAUCACCAUCCACUCAGGAAAAAAAAAUAAUGGAGGUGAGGAAAAAACUUGAACAUAUCACUAACGUCUAUUUAAACAUGAUGGGUUGAACCCAGGCUUUUAUGACUCUCCUUUCUAAAAUCCUGCUAAAAUGAUAGUAAGCAAAAAACCCACAAGAGAAUGAGAGAUGAGACACAAGCAAAUGGGAGCCACCAGUGGGAUUUUGGAAGCUUGAAAAAUAGAUGGAUAAGUGGUUCCUGAUUUAGCGGAGCAGAAAAUUUAAACCUAGGAUGGUGGUGGGUGAAGCCAGGAAACAGGCGAAUCCAUCGUCCCCCAUCUCCUCCUUCCACCCCUGCUCCCUCCAGUCCCCCAAACUCAGGGAUCAAGGAUAUCAUGUAUCUCUGAGAGGGGCAGCGCCACUGAGAUUGAAAUCAGCAAGUUGAACGUUUGUCUAAGAAACAGUUAGAACCCAGAUCUCCUCCUUCACUUCUCACUGCCAACAGACUGUGUGGUCUUCGUCCCAGCAGAGGCGCUCCAGGGCCUGGGGAAACCUGGCACAGCUGAGGGCAGACUACUGUGCUCCAGGAGAGCCUCAGCUUUUUCCCCUCUGCUUGACUUUGAGAAAGCUCACCGCCGAAAGCUACGAAAACUAUUCUCUGGGCUCUGACCAGACAAAAUGAAAGAUGUACGGCUAAUGACAGCUGGGAAGACCCUAACAAAGCCCCGUAUUACCCCAAAGCUAACUCUACCCAUCGACACACACCAGCCCAUGAAGAGUUGUCUCGAUGUUACUUUAGUGGUGACUCUUACACCUUAGCAGACAACCCAUGAUCAUCUGAGGAAUGUUUGUAGCAUGACAGAAACCCAAACCAAAGGAGCUGGGAGGAAAAAUGUAACGCAGGGGAAGAAAAGUUCAACCACAGCCAUCUCGAACCUAUUGUUAGAUGAUCAGAGUUGACAGAAGAGACCAUUGACAUUUAGAGAAUAAAAACAUAUGGAGAAUUUGGGGGACA
rnacentral:lncRNA from 1 species